rnacentral:misc_RNA from 1 species
AAGUCGUAACAAGGUUUCCGUAGGUGAACCUGCGGAAGGAUCAUUACCGGUUCAGGUUUUAAAUUAUCAAUUUGAAAUCGAAAACCCUCACCCUUUGUUUACAAUAGCUUUGUUGCUUUGGCAGGCCCGCCUUAGGCCGCCGGCUUCGGCUGGCCAGCGCCUGUCAGAGAACUUAAAACUCUUGUUAAUAAUAUUGUCAGAGUACUAUAUAAUAGUUAAAACUUUCAACAACGGAUCUCUUGGUUCUG